rnacentral:rRNA from 1 species
UGGGGAAUAUUGGACAAUGGGCGCAAGCCUGAUCCAGCCAUGCCGCGUGGGUGAUGAAGGCCCUAGGGUUGUAAAGCACUUUCGACCGGGACGAAAACCCGCUGGCUAACAUCCAGCGGUUUGACGGUACCGGGAGAAGAAGCACCGGCUAACUCU